GUCCUAUAAACACCAGGCUGUAGGUUAUAAAAGCAGGCAACAGCUCACUGCUCCCUUUGCUCAGAGGCAGCAUUUUUGGAAGACAAGAUGGUUGCCUGCCCUCAGAAGGAAGAUUUACACAGUAGGGUAGAAUAAUUACUCAAAAACAGACAGAAGAAGAAACAACAACCUGUCUCCGAGGCCUGGACUUACCCAGAUAUGCAGUACAGUGCGUAUGAGAACCAUCCCGCAGGGCCAUGCCAGUGUCUGGGAGAACUCACUCCUGGUUGAUUCAUUGGAAUUAUCAGCCCCCAAGCUGUAGACUCCUGCUCAGUCGGCUUAGAACUCUCCUCAGCAGCAGCAUCACCCUUCAUUCAGCCCGCGAAGCUGCUACCAGAGUGAUGUGGCAAUUCAGCUGUUUGGAAUUAGCUGGAUAUUGUCCUGAGCACCUUGGAUCAGCUUGAACUAUGCAGGGUCUUGGCGGCGUGGCUAUGUCCAGGGACAAGAGUUGGGCUUAUCCAGUUUCUCUGCUUGUUCCCCACCUGGCAUCACAAAUGUUGGUGUGCUCAUGGUGAUCUCUGUGGACUGAUCGUGGAAGAUUGUGACUGCAUGUGAGGAAUAAGCAACAGCGGCAGGAAGCCCAGGGGCGACUCAGGAAACAAGGAUCCUGUUCUCCUGCAGAUGUCCCUCAUCAGAGGGAACAGACCAGCAGGAGAAGCGGAGGGACAACCACACACAAAUGUACCAUGGCUCUGCUCUGAAGAUGCCUUGCACUUAAUUAUUUCUAAUUGGCCUGUCACUGAAGAAUGAAGGCAACUCCGACAAUGUUAUCUGACAGGGAGGGAGGGAGGCUGCUCCUAGCACCCUGGAAAUAUGGGCAGAGGUGGGGCCUGCAGCUGGCAAAUGCUGACCGGCAAAGUCUGGCACCAACCAAGCGAGCUGAGUCCCUCUGCCCGAUGUGCUGCCAUAAAGAUGAAGCUGAAGACUCAGGCCUGGACAACAAGGAUAGCCAAGAAGUGAAGGUGAGGCUCCUUUCUGGUCAUGCCCAAGAGAUGGCACCGGAGCAGCCAGCAUUUCUCCACAGCUCUGAACAUAGAAGCACGAGGCAACUCAGGAAAAGAAGGUUUGAUCCUGCACCUGAGAAAUCCCAUUGACUUCAAAGAAUUUGCCAUGUGGUUUAAGGACUACUUGUGUCAGCAAGGCCUGACGAUUCAGUCUCUUAGGCUUAGAUCCUCAGAAGGUAUUUAGGCACCUGAUACUCAAAAUCAAUGGGAAUUAGGCACCUAAAUACCUCUGAGGAUCUGGAGCUUAGGGCUCAAUCGUCCUAAGUGUGGCAAUCUGCCUUCCAGCUUCCCCUUGCUCCAAGGGGGAAGAACUCUGCCCCAGGUCUGUAUCCAGUGCAGGACACUUCCCCUGGCACAUUGUUGUAGCAACACUAUCCAGCAUGUUGGGCUCAUGGAGCCAAGGCUCCAUCCGCUCCUUGCCACAUCCCACCCAGUCCCUGGGGAAGCAUGGACAUAUCAGUCCAAUGCAGGCUGCUCUCCUGGGAGCACUGCAAUAGCAUAAGCUUGGGUGUCCAGCCCAAGGAAGUCAGACUCCUUGACUCCCUUGUGCAGCCGCAGCCUGGCUGGCCAUGGGAGAUUAACCGAAUGGGGAAAAGGGCAUCGAAAGGGUGCUGUGACUAGUGACUGAGGAUAUUUGAGAGAACUUGGAACCCAGACAAAAAUUUCCCC